UUGUCCUGGCCUGUGCUUUUUCUGAUCCUCUGUGCUCAGUUCUAACAGGGGAGUCUGGCAGGACACACAGCAAUCUCCCUCUCAGUUUAGGAGGGCCGUCCUAAGAACUGGGCUGGCUCUUAAAGGCACGAGAGGACAAC
ensembl:scaRNA SCARNA11 small Cajal body-specific RNA 11